GAACGGGGGGGGCAGCGGAGGGCUGAGGGGGCGCUCGUCCGCCCCCCGCCCUCACACCCCGUCACAACCCCCUCACACCGCCCUCAUAGGACCCCUCACUGCCGCUCCGCUCCAAUGCCCCCGAGCUUCCAGAACCAUCGGCUCUCCGUGCCCCUGCUGCCGAGCUGUUCCGACUCUGGGCUCUCCGUGUCCCCGGCUCUCCGUCCCUCGGGCUCUCCGUGCCCCCUGUGCCUUCCAGACCCCCCCGGCCCUCCGUGCCCCAGACUCCCUGGACUCUCUGGCCCCCUUGUCACCGCCCGGUGGCCCCACGGCCAGAAGGGUGCUGGUGCCCGUGCCCCCCUCGCCUCAGGGGCCACUCCGCUGCCCCCAGGAGCUCCAGAGCUACAUUUGUCAAAAAAGAGCUAAAUUUUUUGAAAUGGAAGUUCGGGUAUAAAUCGGUGUCGGUACUGUGGUAGAAAUGGUUAUACUGGGUGGGCCAUGAGGUCCUGCUGCUAUCUCGCAGCUUUAACCUUAUCUAACCGUGAGGUUCCCUCAGGGGAAGGCACGAGGAGCUGCCCACAGGUGCUGCGAGACUUGAAGUCUGAGGUAAAGCUUUUCUGGGUUUAUUCCCACCUUUCUCUGCUUGCUGAGGGUGCACUGAAUCCUCAGGGAAACCCAGGCUCAGUCCAGGGUCGGCCCUCGGGGCAGGAUCUGGUGUGUGAGAAAACACCAGGGAGUCCAACUGUGCCACGGGGAAACUCAACAUCAGCUCUGUGUAAUCAAGUCCUUAACAGAGACGUGGCAACUUGCACAUAAAAGGCUUCGGCGACCGUUCCGUUCUGUUCUAUUUGUGAAACUUCUCCAGAGCAGUUUUACAAGGCCGGUUACUGCUGAUUUUCAGCCCAAGCAGAGCUGAGUGAGGAGAGCAAGAAGACAGAAAUAGAAUUUUCCAGAGGUUUACAGGUGGAAAGAAGGAAGGUGCCAUGUGGGAGGGGAAGAGCCAUUUGUCCUGGAGGAAUCCCAGCACAGUUUCUUCUCACAGGAGAGAAGCUCCAGACCCCUCAUCAUCUUUAUGACCUCUGAUGGACCCUCUCCAGUAGCUCCUCACCUUUCUUGUACUGAGGAGCCCAGAACUGGACCCAGCACUCCAGAUGUGGCCUCAUCAGGGCCGAGCAGAGGGGGAGCAUCACCUCCCUCAACCUGCUGGCCACACUCCUCCCUCACCGGAUUCCAGCUUGAGCCCUCACCGGAGCGCUUGUGCUUUGUCUCUGCGCGUCCCAGGCUUGGCUUUGCCAUUUCUCCUCCUGUGGGAGCUGGGCUUGUUUAGUCUGGAGAAGAGAAGACUGAGAGGGGAUCUCAUCAAUGCAUAUAAAUAUCUUCAAGUCAGGUGUCAGAGGAUGGUGCCAGACUCUUUUCCGUGGUGCCCAGCAACUGGACUAGGAACAAUGACCAUAAAGAAGUUUCACCUCAGCGUGAAGACAAACUUCUUUCCAUGGAGGGUGGCAGAGCCCUGGAACAGCUGCCUAGGGCGGGCGUGGAGUCUCCCUCUCUGGAGACAUUCCAAACUCACCUGCUCCAGGCGACCCUGCCCUGGCAGGGGGGUCGGAGUGGCUGAUCUGCAGAAGUCGCUCCCAACCCGAAGGAUUCUCUGUGACUGCGGGUGCUGCGCGGCCCCUCCAGCCGGGCAGGGGGCGGCAGAGCGGCCGCGGGGCGGGGCGGGCGGAAGC